rnacentral:lncRNA from 1 species
ACCUCUGCUCUGCGCUUUACCCAGACUUGCUCGGCUGGGAUUGUACACCCUGUGGCGCUUGCAGACUGUUGGGGAAAUGAAAACCCCUGGAAACAUGCACUUCAUACACAGUGUGUUAUAUGGAAGACACCAAGAUCUACCAUGAACCGAGGCCUGGAAGGGAAAACUGAAUAGAGCAACUGUGGGUUCUGACAGCUCGCGGGUCGCAGGUAUGUUGUGAACGCUGACUACUGAAUCAGAUGCCUGCGCCCGUCUCUGUCUGGGCAUCAGGAACCGGCGUCAACACGAGACCUGGCCGCGGUGAAGGCUCAGUGAGGACUGCAGGACGCUGCGGCUGCCAGCUCUCCCUACGGCGCACAGGGGGCGCAGGUCGAGACAGGGCGUCCCAGCCCCCGCUCUCUCAGGAAGGCAAAGAAGGGGACCAGGCCGGCAGAGCCUCUCAGGGCAGAGCGGUGAGGAGACAGGGCCUCAGUCCUCCGGGUCCCUCCGGUGAGAGGCGGGCAGGCUCGGGUUCCGCCCCCUCCCAGGGCGGCAGUUCACAGCAUCGGCCGGCAGAGGGCAGCAGAGGCCAGCUCGUGGCAGACCAAGCCCAGGGCCUAGCGCAGAAGCGGGUCCUGGGCCUGAGUCCCGCUGGCUUCCCGGGUGCAGGCUCCACCAGGGAGAAGCAGCGGCCCUUCCUCUCUCUGGCUUGCCCUGGGGAGAGGGGCGAGAGGAGGCAAUUCCGAAAGCCCCUCAUUGUGCGGAGUGGCUUUUUCUUUCUUUUCUGCAUCACAUGCACUGAAUGCCAUUUUCCAAAGUGCUCCCAGAGGGGGCGGGCAGCCAGGUGAUUUCCCAGAAGCCGGAGGAAGAGCCACAGGACGCAAGGCCCACAUAGCUCAGGGGACUUCAGGAGGGCCACACCACUGCUGCUUACAGAACUCGGAGCUUCCUGCCUUGGCAGUCAUCCGGGGAGAAUUGUUACAGCACGGAUGCCUUAUCUGAUCUCUCCUUGGGAGCCUCCCUCCGCUCGCUCUGUGGGACUGAAGGGCUGGAGGCCUGUGCCAGUGUUAGCAAAACAUUUGGAGUCACCGAGCCUGCGACGAGAGUGGCACUGGAGCACUGGAGGUCGCAGUGCUGAGCAGGCUCUGCCUGCCUCGGCUCCCUGACCCUCAGCCAGUGUCCUCGGCUGUGAAGCAGAGGACAGACAGCCAUGGCAUGCUGUGAAUGCCCGACGUGCACCGUUGUAAUCUGUGCAGAGGCAGCAGUGAUGCCCAAGACCCCUCUGGGGCUCGGCGGGCCAGGGACUACCACUGUGUCCUUCAAGACAGUCGUCGGGACAGUCGUCAACACAUGAGCUUUGCAUGUGAGCAAGCAGAGGGGUCACUGCUCCUGCCAACGACUGAACGAGGGCCCAGUGGGCCAAGCAGAAAC